rnacentral:rRNA from 1 species
UACGUAGGGUGCGAGCGUUAAUCGGAAUACUGGGCGUAAAGCGUGCGCAGGCGGUUCGUUGUGUCGGCGGUGAAAGCCCGGGCUUAACCUGGGAAUGGCCGUUGAAACUGGCGAACUGGAGUGUGGCAGAGGGGGGUGGAAUCCGCGUGUAGCAGAUGAAAUGCGUAGAGAUGCGGAGGAACACCGAUGGCGAAGCAGCCCCUGGGCUAACACUGAC